GGUUAAGCGACUAAGCGUACACGGUGGAUGCCCUGGCAGUCAGAGGCGAUGAAGGACGUGCUAAUCUGCGAUAAGCGUCGGUAAGGUGAUAUGAACCGUUAUAACCGGCGAUUUCCGAAUGGGGAAACCCAGUGUGAUUCGUCACACUAUCAUUAACUGAAUCCAUAGGUUAAUGAGGCGAACCGGGGGAACUGAAACAUCUAAGUACCCCGAGGAAAAGAAAUCAACCGAGAUUCCCCCAGUAGCGGCGAGCGAACGGGGAGCAGCCCAGAGCCUGAAUCAGUGUGUGUGUUAGUGGAAGCGUCUGGAAAGGCGCGCGAUACAGGGUGACAGCCCCGUACACAAAAAUGCACAUGCUGUGAGCUCGAUGAGUAGGGCGGGACACGUGGUAUCCUGUCUGAAUAUGGGGGGACCAUCCUCCAAGGCUAAAUACUCCUGACUGACCGAUAGUGAACCAGUACCGUGAGGGAAAGGCGAAAAGAACCCCGGCGAGGGGAGUGAAAAAGAACCUGAAACCGUGUACGUACAAGCAGUGGGAGCACGCUUAGGCGUGUGACUGCGUACCUUUUGUAUAAUGGGUCAGCGACUUAUAUUCUGUAGCAAGGUUAACCGAAUAGGGGAGCCGAAGGGAAACCGAGUCUUAACUGGGCGUUAAGUUGCAGGGUAUAGACCCGAAACCCGGUGAUCUAGCCAUGGGCAGGUUGAAGGUUGGGUAACACUAACUGGAGGACCGAACCGACUAAUGUUGAAAAAUUAGCGGAUGACUUGUGGCUGGGGGUGAAAGGCCAAUCAAACCGGGAGAUAGCUGGUUCUCCCCGAAAGCUAUUUAGGUAGCGCCUCGUGAAUUCAUCUCCGGGGGUAGAGCACUGUUUCGGCAAGGGGGUCAUCCCGACUUACCAACCCGAUGCAAACUGCGAAUACCGGAGAAUGUUAUCACGGGAGACACACGGCGGGUGCUAACGUCCGUCGUGAAGAGGGAAACAACCCAGACCGCCAGCUAAGGUCCCAAAGUCAUGGUUAAGUGGGAAACGAUGUGGGAAGGCCCAGACAGCCAGGAUGUUGGCUUAGAAGCAGCCAUCAUUUAAAGAAAGCGUAAUAGCUCACUGGUCGAGUCGGCCUGCGCGGAAGAUGUAACGGGGCUAAACCAUGCACCGAAGCUGCGGCAGCGACGCUUAUGCGUUGUUGGGUAGGGGAGCGUUCUGUAAGCCUGCGAAGGUGUGCUGUGAGGCAUGCUGGAGGUAUCAGAAGUGCGAAUGCUGACAUAAGUAACGAUAAAGCGGGUGAAAAGCCCGCUCGCCGGAAGACCAAGGGUUCCUGUCCAACGUUAAUCGGGGCAGGGUGAGUCGACCCCUAAGGCGAGGCCGAAAGGCGUAGUCGAUGGGAAACAGGUUAAUAUUCCUGUACUUGGUGUUACUGCGAAGGGGGGACGGAGAAGGCUAUGUUGGCCGGGCGACGGUUGUCCCGGUUUAAGCGUGUAGGCUGGUUUUCCAGGCAAAUCCGGAAAAUCAAGGCUGAGGCGUGAUGACGAGGCACUACGGUGCUGAAGCAACAAAUGCCCUGCUUCCAGGAAAAGCCUCUAAGCAUCAGGUAACAUCAAAUCGUACCCCAAACCGACACAGGUGGUCAGGUAGAGAAUACCAAGGCGCUUGAGAGAACUCGGGUGAAGGAACUAGGCAAAAUGGUGCCGUAACUUCGGGAGAAGGCACGCUGAUAUGUAGGUGAAGUCCCUCGCGGAUGGAGCUGAAAUCAGUCGAAGAUACCAGCUGGCUGCAACUGUUUAUUAAAAACACAGCACUGUGCAAACACGAAAGUGGACGUAUACGGUGUGACGCCUGCCCGGUGCCGGAAGGUUAAUUGAUGGGGUCAGCGCAAGCGAAGCUCUUGAUCGAAGCCCCGGUAAACGGCGGCCGUAACUAUAACGGUCCUAAGGUAGCGAAAUUCCUUGUCGGGUAAGUUCCGACCUGCACGAAUGGCGUAAUGAUGGCCAGGCUGUCUCCACCCGAGACUCAGUGAAAUUGAACUCGCUGUGAAGAUGCAGUGUACCCGCGGCAAGACGGAAAGACCCCGUGAACCUUUACUAUAGCUUGACACUGAACAUUGAGCCUUGAUGUGUAGGAUAGGUGGGAGGCUUUGAAGUGUGGACGCCAGUCUGCAUGGAGCCGACCUUGAAAUACCACCCUUUAAUGUUUGAUGUUCUAACGUUGACCCGUAAUCCGGGUUGCGGACAGUGUCUGGUGGGUAGUUUGACUGGGGCGGUCUCCUCCUAAAGAGUAACGGAGGAGCACGAAGGUUGGCUAAUCCUGGUCGGACAUCAGGAGGUUAGUGCAAUGGCAUAAGCCAGCUUGACUGCGAGCGUGACGGCGCGAGCAGGUGCGAAAGCAGGUCAUAGUGAUCCGGUGGUUCUGAAUGGAAGGGCCAUCGCUCAACGGAUAAAAGGUACUCCGGGGAUAACAGGCUGAUACCGCCCAAGAGUUCAUAUCGACGGCGGUGUUUGGCACCUCGAUGUCGGCUCAUCACAUCCUGGGGCUGAAGUAGGUCCCAAGGGUAUGGCUGUUCGCCAUUUAAAGUGGUACGCGAGCUGGGUUUAGAACGUCGUGAGACAGUUCGGUCCCUAUCUGCCGUGGGCGCUGGAGAACUGAGGGGGGCUGCUCCUAGUACGAGAGGACCGGAGUGGACGCAUCACUGGUGUUCGGGUUGUCAUGCCAAUGGCACUGCCCGGUAGCUAAAUGCGGAAGAGAUAAGUGCUGAAAGCAUCUAAGCACGAAACUUGCCCCGAGAUGAGUUCUCCCUGACCCUUUAAGGGUCCUGAAGGAACGUUGAAGACGACGACGUUGAUAGGCCGGGUGUGUAAGCGCAGCGAUGCGUUGAGCUAACCGGUACUAAUGAACCGUGAGGCUUAACCUU
rnacentral:rRNA from 1 species